rnacentral:rRNA from 1 species
CCUACGGGUGGCUGCAGUGGGGAAUAUUGCACAAUGGGCGCAAGCCUGAUGCAGCCAUGCCGCGUGUGUGAAGAAGGCCUUCGGGUUGUAAAGCACUUUCAGCGGGGAGGAAGGCGUUAAGGUUAAUAACCUUGGCGAUUGACGUUACCCGCAGAAGAAGCACCGGCUAACUCCGUGCCAGCAGCCGCGGUAAUACGAAGGGUGCAAGCGUUAAUCGGAAUUACUGGGCGUAAAGCGCACGCAGGCGGUCUGUCAAGUCGGAUGUGAAAUCCCCGGGCUCAACCUGGGAACUGCAUUCGAAACUGGCAGGCUAGAGUCUUGUAGAGGGGGGUAGAAUUCCAGGUGUAGCGGUGAAAUGCGUAGAGAUCUGGAGGAAUACCGGUGGCGAAGGCGGCCCCCUGGACAAAGACUGACGCUCAGGUGCGAAAGCGUGGGGAGCAAACAGGAUUAGAUACCCUGGUAGUC